CGAGGCGGCGGCGGCGGCGGCGGAGCGGCGAGCGGGAGGCUGGCUGGGCUGCAGGCGGCUCUGCCCGCCCGCUCCCGCGGCUCUCCGCGCCGGCCGCGCCGGUGUCUUUUUCUCCUGGCGGAAAUGACGAGGCGGCUCCUGCCACCCGAAAAUAUCUCCAAGUGAAAUGGGAAGCGACACCCGAGUGCCGCCCGGGGCGGGGGAACGCAGGGGGGAGGCGGGAUGACUCGCAAGGCUGCACUGUCCUGGAGGCUGCCCCCAGGGGGCAAUUCCCACAGAUCCAGGGCCACAGUGUCUGUAGGAGGCCCUCCUAAAGAACAGAGCGAUUCUUCCUAGGAUGGCCGUGGGUGUUUUUCAGGCACCUUCCCUGCGAGCCUCUGCUCUGAGGAGGUGGUACCCACCUGGGAGCUCCGGGCGGAGGAUAAAUACCGCCGAAGGGUGUUUUCCUGCUAGUGACUUGGCCAGGGCACAGCUUUGCCUGCGCUUGCAUCUGCCCUGCUUCUCCUGCCAAGAGACGGCCAUCGAGAUGUUCCCUCUGAUGGUGUCGGCUGCUGAACGCCAGCUGCUGACGCUGACAUUUAAUAUCUGCAUGUGUAAGGGGGGGAGAGGGGGGAGAAAAAAAAAAGAAGAGAGGAUUUCCUCAACUCUGAAGUGGCAGCAGCAAAGGAAUCCCUUUGCAUGACAUGGACAGCGACAAAAGCUCUCCCGUUUCCCUACGUGGGGCUCAAGCAGCAGCAAUGAGGGCGAGUAAGGCGCUCACGGGGCUGGUAACACCCACGCUUGGAGACCCAGGAAGAGUCUCCCUAGCAGCAUUAGUUAAACUUACCCCUCACUUUACAGGAUGUAUUUCUCCUUGAGAAGAAGCUUCUUCCUUUACUGACAGCUGGAGCUGUAGACGUGUCUGCUGGGUCACAUUCCUGCCUGCACACCGGAGGCACUCUGCCUCUGAAGAGGCUGUGUUACCUAAAACCACUGAAACAAUAAACCUCACUUAAAAAUUCA